GGGUUCUAGUUUCCCGCCUCCGGGUGCCUGGCUCAACAAAAGACUUGUUGCUGGGACCGAGGAAGCCAAAGUGGGAAGAUGGCGCGCGGGGAAGCAGGCGAAGAGGCGCGCCCUGCAGGCCGGUCGCGGGCCCCUGGACGCACCUCCCCACCUCGGUUCCCCGAGUCGGCCUUUUCCACACCUCUCAUGAUGCAGGGAAUUGCAAUGCGGGCCCAGUGACACACGAUUGUGACUCAUAACUCUGCUCCCCUUCCUCCGCGGUCAGCCCUCUCUCCUCGGGGGGCGCGCGGGCGGUGGAAGGGGAUGCGGGGGCCCAUCCUGCGCCAGGCCAGAGGCGGGGUGGGAGCCCGGGGUGUGGGGAGGCGGGCCUCCAAGUUUCAGGAAUGCCUCAGGAAUGUUUCCGGUGGGGGGUGGGGAGCACGGCGGGCUCAGCUCCCCCCUCCCAUGGGCCGUAGGAUGGCGCCCUGGGCGCGGGGCAGCACGUGCUCGGUGGGGGUGGGGCGCGGCGGGCGAGCGCCGGCGGCCUGGGUAGGCCCGCGGGUCCCGGGCCAAGGUCCAGGUGACCCUCAACUCCUGAGGUGCCACUGGAGAGGGAGGAAGUCACGGAGGGGCGUGCCCAUCGGGUGGAGGGGAGCCUAGGGCGCCGGGGCAGUCUAGGGGAGGAGCGGCUGCCCCUUUGUGUGCAGCCGCUGUGGGGGCGGGGCGGGGUGGAAGCGCGCCGCGCCCUCCAUCUUGGUGCCCCGCGAGCGGAGUUGGCUGGAGGGGCGCGAGCUCUGGGGACCUUCGUAGCGAGGUGUGGCUGAGCAAGCUACCAACUCCCACUAGCACCAGCACCGGCCAUUGGCAGCAACCUAAGCGACUAGGCCCUUGCCAUGGUGUUGAAGGGGGGAAGUUUGGGAAUGGUCCUGCAGGCCCCUUUCCCCCCAAUGUAGUAGUGGCCCCUCUGCGUCUACCGCCUCUGACCUGUGCGGACCAAAAGAGGAUAUCCUUCCUGAAUGGGCUUUGGGAAAGGUUGGCCAAUUGCUUGGCCCACUUUCAGUAAAGUGGCUUGAUCGUAUUUUUCUACUUCUCUUGGUCCUGACUUGCUCACCGGCUUGUCUUGUGUCUUGUGUGUAUUUUGUACCCAAGACCCUCUCUGGAAGUAGGCAGGUGUAAGUAAAGUUCAAGGCAAAUAAAUACAAGAGUUUGCCUCCCUCCCGCCUUCCUUUCCCACUCCUGAAAUGUAGUUCUGCCCGCCGACCCCUGUGCAGAUACCUGCGUGCUUUCUGGCUUGCCCGUGCCCUGAAUUCCACUCCUUGCCUUUUACGGUACUAUUUAGGCAUAAGAGUGAGUAGGGGGUCGGGGUAGGGAGUCCCAUGGAACCUCACAUCUGUAAAGAAGCAAAGAAGGCAGGUAACGGCCAGGCAAGAGGCGGCCUUGAGGUUGAAAACCGUUUUUGACCUCCAAGUUCUUGGGGUACAUGCGGUGGGUGAACGAAGUCCUGUGCGCUUUCGAGCGUGGACUUGGGACAGGACCUAAAGACCUAGUGGGAGCUGCAGGAAGCACUAGUUAGGUAUGAACAGGCCCUCUUGGAUCUGGAGAGUAGGUGGGCCAGGUCCAGGAAGCUAGUGGGGAAUGAAUCCUGGGCCUGAAUCUUCCCAGGGACAAACACUGACCUUCAGAGAUCCCAACCGGAAUGUCUGGUAUCAAAUGAGCUGUACCCCAGAAGAGCUGGCUCCGUUAGAGCGCACGGAAGGACUGGUAUAGAGAGUUCCGUGUAGUUUGAGACCGGUCGUUCCCUGAAGGGCAGGACGAGGGACACUCUGGUGUUCUCUGUCUGGACUUUCCAUGUAGGGUUACCCAGAAGAGGCAAGGAUGAGGCGUGUCUAACCAGGUAACCAAACCAGGACACUGAAAAAGGGAAGCCUGGGGUAGGGGUCCUACCUAGGUUUGGGCCUCAAACUUCAAUAAGAAGUGACUGAGGGCCCCGUGUGGCAGCAGAGGGAAACAGGUUCUCCUGAGUCCCAGGACAGCUAGGACUGUGGUAGAGAAACUCAGUCUUUUUUUUUUUUUUUUUUUUUUAAGGAAUUAUUUAUUUAUUAUAUGUGAGUACACUGUCGCUGUCUUCAGACACACCAGAAGAGGGCAUCGGAUCUCAUUACAGAUGGUUGUGAGCCACCAUGUGGUUGCUGGGAAUUGAACUCAUGACCUCUGGAAGAGCAGUCAGUGCUCUUUUUUUUUUUUUUUAAGAUUAAUUUAUUUAUUUCAUAUAAGUACACUGUAGCUGUCUUCAGACACACCAAAGGGCAUCAGACCUUAUUACAGAUGGUUGUGAGCCACCAUGUGGUUGCUGGGAUUUGAACUCAGGACCUUUGGAAGAGCAGUCAGCGCUCUUAACCACUGAGCCAUCUCUCCAGCCCGCAGUCAGUGCUCUUAACUGCUGAGCCAUCUCUCUAGCCCCCAAGACCCUGUCUUUAAAAGGGGGUGGAGGGUGAGCGUGGUGGUGGUGGUUCUUAAAAGGCUGAGGCAGGGUAGGAGUUCCCGGCCUGCUGCGGCCGCCGUGUAAAAGACUUCCAGGCACCUAGGAGGCAGGUGGACCUCUGUGACUCUCUGGUCUACACACUGAGUUCCAGGGCGACCUAGUGAGACCCCGUCUGAAACAAACCAAAAAAAAAGCUCUAAUGAUGGUUUGGCUCGGUGAAUGUGCUUGUGGCCAAGUCUGAUUACCAGAGUUGCAUCCUGGGGUCUCAAACGGUAAAGAAGGAGGAGAAGCAACCACAAGCUGACCUCUGACGUUCACACGUGCCUGCCCCCCACACAUACGCAUAAGAGAGAAAUAAAAAAAUGUUCAAGUAAGUUUACCCAUUGUCGGCAACUCUAUGUGCACUGGAAGACCGAGGCAGGAGGAUUGCCACAAGUUUGCUGGCCAGUACUAUACGACAAGUACUUUCCACUGCAAUAUUAGAUUUAAAAAAAAAAAAAAAGACCUUUCCAAAAGUAUGUAAGAAAUUGCAUGUUUUAACUGUUCGCCCAGUGACUUUUGAACACCUUUGGAGCAGAUGUGCCAAGACCGAGGAAUAGGUCGGCUUCCUCUCUGUUAGGGCCAGCAUCUCAGAUGUUUGUAUCCAGGCACGUACGGUGGCAGUGGGUUUCACAGUGUGGAUGCUCAAACUCACUUCCUUCCUCGGCCUUUUGCCAGGCAGACUCAUCCAUGCCACAGCACGUGGCUGCAGAGUUCGCCCACAGGGCCCCGAGCUUACCGAGUGUGAAGGCCCGGCAGUUUGUUUACCCUGCCCUGUGGAAGGGCUUCUGGACAGUUGCUGGUUCCGGCUGUUACAGGGAGUGAAUACUACCCUGGUGUGGCAGGGUUCCCAGUGACUGGAUCUGGGAUUUCUGUUGGGUGCGUGCCUAGGAGAGGAACUGCUGGACCACGGGAGGUGUGUGCCCAGCUUCAGCAGCUGUGCAGGACACCACGGAGUGACAGGGCCACUCAUCAUAGCCAUGAGCUUACAGCAGGCGUCAACCUGACCCAGCCCAAACCGAGAACAUUGACCCACGCCAGGCAAUGUUAGGUUGGCUCCAAGUGUUGGCCUUAUUAACCAGGUCUGACCCAUGCCAGCCACUUUGGGAGCCAUUCUUCUACACAAGGUGCUUGCCCACUCUCCCAGAGUCGCCCAGCUACUCCAGUGCAUCUGGUCCCUCUGGCAGGACCAGACAUCAGAGCCCUACUGACCACAAGCUCUGUUGCCAGGAAGCCUGGCCGGCUGGAGUGGGAGGAGGGCCUCUUCUGGCUCCAACUUUCGAGGGAAAAACCAACCGUCAAGCAGAGAGAACAGGGAGAACAGCUCUCUGCCUGCCUUCCUCCCACCUGAGAGACCCAGGACACACACACACACACACACACACACACACACACACACACACACACACACACACACACACACGCAAGGAGAGAGACUGGGAACAUCCAUCAGCUCUUAUCUAACCUUGGAAAAAAACUGAGGAAGAGAGGUUGUUGGGCAGAAACAGAGCUACGAGGGUCUUUCUCUUCCCUCUCUGUCUCCCCCAUCAGUGAGCAGUAUUCCCACCCCAAUCCUGAGGGAAUGAAAAAGGAGGCUUGGGUCAGGCACAGGGGCCAGGUUUUAAAACCCAGCACAGGGGAGACAGAAGCAGGCAGAUCCCUCUGUCAAGGCCAGCCAGAGAUACACCGUCAAACUCUUGUCUCAAAAAAAGCAAACCAAACCCUUAGGCUCUUGCCCCUUUCAGCCUCCCCGAGGUUUCUUUCCAGGCACCGGGACUGGCUCAUAUAGUCAAGGCAUUUGUGUCGGGUGGAAGGAUAGGGGGACGGAAAGGAACCUGCAACAUCACCGAUGAUGUACUUUCUCUGUGCUGUGGUGGGGGAAGCAGACAGGUAGAGACAAGACAGAUGUCCAGCGUGGGGAUAGGCUAGGCUUGGGAGAGGGCAGACAACACAAGCUGGUGUUCAGCCCCAUUCCCCCAACACCUCUGAAGCCACUGCUAGAUGCUAGGACCAAAGGGGGAGCACUCCCAGGAGCGCUGAAGAACGCCCAGUUGCUAUUGUUUAUGGGGUCAGAAUGCAGGUAUGGUGACAGGUAGGCUUCCUGUCCCUGUCUUCACUGGGGUAGAGGCCAGCAGCUCAGACCUGUCCUAGGAGCCCGGCCUGGAGCCUGCUCCUCCUCCAGUUUCCCAACAGUUUUGUAAGCACCGUUCUGAAGCUCUUCCUACCUGAAAGGCAAGGCCUGGUGUCCGAGCCGCCUGGUCGGACUAAAACCCUCAGGGCCAACAGCCUGGAAGCCUGGAAGGCACGGUGGUGCACACACCUUCCACCCCAGCGCUCCCAAGGCAGACACAGGCAGAUCCCUACUGUUGAUGGCCAGCCUGGUCUACAUGGUAAGUUUCAGGUCAGCCAGUGAUAUGUACAAACUCCUACCUGCUGGUUCCCUCCCCAACUAACUGGUCUAAACGGUCCGAGUGUUCAUUCGUGAGGUCUGCCCAAGGUCGAGCACAGCAGUCAGUGUCUGCUAUCCAUUGGUAUUUGGUACUGGGGCAUCUAAGAUCAAAUACUUUCCCUUUGGCCAAGGAAAUUGUAGAGUCCAUACGGUGGGACAGACUGACAGACAGAGGGCAGGUAAGAUACCAAGACCCCCUCCUACCCAGGGCAUCUGUAGAACCCUUGAGAGUCCCCUCGCAGCCUUAGCCCGAGCCAGUAGUUUAAGGUCUGUUAGCCUUACCUACUUCCCACCAGCCCCCGGGGGCCUUGAGAGUGCUAACAGGAAUUGGGAUUCUAAUUCGAGGCUCUGCGCUGGGCCUGUCACAGCUCUGUUGCUUUAGACGCCUUCCUCUUCCAUGUGGCUCUAGGGUUACAGGUGAGUCUCACAGGUCUCUCUCUCUCUCUCUCUCUUAAAGACUUAUUUAUAAUUUAUUUAUGUAUACAGCAUUCUGUCUGCAUGUAUGCCUGCAGGCCAGAAGAGGGCAUCAGAUCCCAUUACAGAUGGUUGUGAGCCACCAUGUGGUUGCUGGGAUUGGAACUCAGGACUUCUGGGAGAGCAGUCGGUGCUCUAACCGCUGAGCCAUCUCUGCAGCCCAGUCUCACAAGGUCUUCACCUUGUUUCCUUCUGUCUGCUCCUUAACACCUGGCUCUGAGAACAGAUGAGAUGACACAAGCCCUUCAUCCCAGCACUUGGUCUGCAGAGGCAGGCAGAUCUCAGUGAGUUUCUGUCCCAAAGCCCGGACUACAGAGUGAAACCUGGUCUCAAAACAAAAUUCCCCGCCAGAUGUGGGACCGGCAGAGGCGGUCUUAUCCUGGGAAGCAGACGGACCCAACUGGCGGAUGCUGUCAAGCCUGAGCUUCAGAACAGCUGUCCAUCAUGCCUGUGGUGGGAGAGAGCUCUUUACUUGAGCCCUCUGCCUCUGAGAGAGGCACCAGCCAACUAUUGAAUUCAAAACUGAUGUAUUUCUUAGACUGGGCACCCCAGGCCACCCCGAAUCUUCGCUGUGAACCCUUCUCAGGGUUGAGAAAAUAGUCCUGGUCUCUGUUUGGGGAAGGCCUGGAGGGGUUCUCCGUCGGGUUGUAGAAGCAUGGGGUUGGCAAGGCAAACCAGAGGAAAGUGUUAGGAAGUGAGCAGGACAGUGGUGGAGGGACCAGCAGGUCUUGCGGGGCAGUGAGGACACUCCAAGACAUUUGUCACACCUCCCAGGCUGUUUUCUGCCUCUUCAACCCCAGCAGACCAGACACCAGGCCCAAGGCAACCUUAACUGUGAGGGUGAGCCGAUGGAGGUAGGUGGAGAGGGAAUAAGGGAGAGGAGAUGGCUCCUGGAAGGAGACGGAGGUAGGGCUGAAGCUGUGCAGUCUGUUGGCUCGGAGUCUGGCUCGGAGGGGGCCGCAGAGGGCCCUGUCUUCCCGUCAUCAGGGUCUCAGUCACUCCUAUGCUUUCCAGACCUGUCUCCACCCCAUGGCUCACGGUGACUUCCAGGACCCAGUCUCCCUUGAGACUGGCUCAGGCAGCCUCUUUCCAUUCUCCUUCCUAGGGACCUGACCACAGCACCACAGGUCGGCGACUUGCCAAGACCAAAUCUCCUGGAAGUGGGCAGUGGGCUCUGGGCGGGGGUUAACCCACACCGGCUUAUCCCCUGCAGGCCCACAGCAUCUGGCGGGGGUCUCUAGGGAUAGAUUAGUGAACAGAGAGCCCAGAGUCUUUCUUGCCCACCCUGGCCAGCCACUCCAGUUCUUGUGGGCAGUGCUGGGCAGAGCGGCUGACAGCCAGGUUUCUGGGUCACCAUCCAGGGUGCCCUGCCAGUUCCCAGGCCUGGGUGAGGAGCAUGUGCGCUCUGUCUCUGGAGCUCAUGCCCCUCCGCUGCCUUUGUCCUUGUCCUUUGGGGCGUGUUCCCAUCCCCCACCUCCAGUCUGGCAGUGCCUCAGCCCCUGAGCUCAGGGGCCCCCAGGGAGGGGCUAGGUGCUGACCAUCUGAGAGUCCCUUGGGUUGGUGGGACUGAUGUAAAAAAGACUCGAAGCCCCUACCAACAGCAACCUCUCUUGGCAUGAGCCCGCCCCUUCACCCUGUUCCUGGAUCUGCCCACUCUUCAGAUGGGCCCCUCUCCCAGAGGGUUUGCUACAGGAAGGUAGAACAGAAAAGGAACGUAUUUCCACAGAGACUGGAUUGGGUUGCCCACCUGAUGUCCCCACUCGAACAAUGUCUGUCUGAAAAGGGUGGCCUCCCCUGGAAAUGUACCCCCUCCCCAAGACCUCAGCAGCCACACAGUCAGGCUGAGACCCAAGAGUUACAGAUAUCUAGCAAAAGACGGGUAAAGGAUCCAGGGGCCAAGGUGGGGUGGAGGUUGGAGCAUCUUAGGCCGUCCUUGGUGUGGGUGUCUCAGGGUCUCAGGCAGCUAGGGAGGUGGGAUAGAUCUCCUGGGGGACCCUGUUGCUUUGGGAACCCCCAACCACUUGGAGAAGAAAAUGGCCCAGCAAUGGUCAGGUCAGCGCUGAUGACUCUAGGGAUGGCAGCAAUUCUGUGAUCCUGUCCCCAUCACCUCGAUCAAUACACAGUGUCAGCCUCUGCACCCCCGCCAGCCCUGUGAGCCAUUAUUUCACUGGAAAAGGGAGCUGCUCUGGGUGUGUAGCCGCCAUGACAGUAGGUUCUGGUUCAGUUCUCUCCUCCUGCCACGGGAGUUACAAGGAUCAAACUUGGGUUGUCAGGGUUGUUGAAAAAUGCCUUCACCGGCUAAGGUAUCCUCUCCUGCUGUGUGAGGCAAUUCCGGGCAUUAAAAAUUUUGGUGUGGGGGUUGGGGAUUUAGCUCAGUGGUAGAGUGCUUGCCUAGGAAGCGCAAGGCCCUGGGUUCUGUCCCCAGCUCCGAAAAAAAGAACCAAAAAAAAAAAAAAUUUUUUUUUUUUGGUGUGACUACUAGAAUGUUUAGAUGUGGACACACACACACACACACACACACACACACACACACAUACUCCUAGCAUUUAGGAAACUGAGGCAGGAGGAUUGUGGCAAGUUUGAGGCCAGCCAGGAUUACAUAGUGACACCUUGUCUCAAAAUAAAAUAAAAUAAAAUAAAAUAAAAUAAAAUAAUCUGAAAGCAAUAAGCAGGCUCCAGUUUUUUUUGUUUGUUUGUUUUGUUUUGUUUUGUUUGUUUGUUUUUUCGGAUCUGGGGGCCAAACCCAGGGCCUUGCGCUUGCUAGGCAAGCGCUCUACCACUGAGCUAAAUCCCCAACCCCUUGCAGGCUCCAGUCUUAACCCCAACCCACCUGAUUCUUUUUUUUUUUUUUUUUUUAGAUUUAUUUAUUUAUUAUAUAUAAGUACACUGUAGCUGUCUUCAGACACACCAGAAGAGGGCAUCGGAUCUCUUUACAGAUGGUUGUGAGCCACCAUGUGGUUGCUGGGAAUUGAACUCAUGACCUCUGGAAGAGCAGUCGGGUGCUCUUAACCGCUGAGCCAUCUCUCCAGCCCUACCCACCUGAUUCUUAACAAGGCCAACCUGGUCUACACAGUGAGAUCCGGGGCAGCCAGGGCUACACAGUGAGACCCUGUUUCCAAAAGGAACCCACAAACAUUGUGUCCUAGGGACAUCCUAGCAGGCAAAAAAUACACACAUAAAAUAAGCAAGUCUCUUAGAAAACAAACUCAGUUCAAAACGAGUCUGAAUCUCGACUGUACGGUAGCUGGCCUAGAUAACACUGUAUUUAUGGCUGGUUGGUGCUCUCGCCGAGCCCAGAAUGCCAGCUCAUAGUGUUGUUGUUUGAGACAGUGCCUCAGUAGGUAUUGAAGACCAGGCUGGCCUUGAACUCACAGCACCUGCUUGCCUCUGCCUUCUAAGUGUGGAAAACCCCCUUGUACCAGAACAUUUUCUCUUGUUAAGGCAGGAGUAAAUAUACUACACUCACUGUCUUAGCACAGGUUCUGAAAAGCUGCUAGUAGGUGAUCAGAAUUUCCACCAUCGAAGGGAAAGGCUCAUUUGGUGACAACCCCGGGGGAAGCAGGGUGAGGAAUUUUAACUGCCUGCCCGGGCCCCUGGGCACACCUGACACAAAGAGCUUGUAAGGUGGCCUGGAAGACUGCCAAGGGCCCUUCUUAUACUGCCACCCUGUGGGCAGGCGUCCGCCGGGGCCCGGGCCGUGUCCUCGGGAAGCUGGGGUGACUGAACCGGCGCUCCAAGUGCCUGGGGGCCUCUGGAGCUGUAGGCUGGGUGCCCGUGGCCCAGGCUCACCCAAGGUCAGUGUGUCACAGGGACAUGGAACACACUUUCUCUUUCCCCGUGAUUCCAUCACGCUGCGAAAGCCCCUUCCGCAGGGACUUCCCUCCCAGCCUGACUCAGGCUGCCUCACGCCCAGUGACUCAGGCAGGCGCCCGGCCAGCCCAGCCCCACAUCCUGCACUACCCAGGCCAGGCGGCUGGAGCCAGGGAUCGCGGCUGCUGGCUGGAGCCUCACCGAUCCCCGGCGAGGACCCCCCACAGCUAAAGUAAGACUAGCUUUGGGCAUGGUGGUGCGGGCCUGUGAUCCCAGUGUUCUGCAGGACCAAGAGUUCAAGGUUGUCCUAGGCUCUAUGUCAAGGUCAAGGCUGGCCGGCCAGCGCUGCACUGGAGCCCAUCUCAAAGGGUGAAAAUACAAAACUGUUAUAAAAGCCUUGGCUGGGUGUGAAGGCACCGACCUGAAAUUCCAGCUCUCGGAAGACCGGGCUAAGAGGAUCCCCGAAAGUUCAAGGCCAGCCUGCUGUACGUUAUGGGUUCUAAGGCAGCCAGGGAACAUAAAGGAACACAUGAAAAUUAAAGGUGGGGGUUGGGGAUUUAGCUCAGUGGUAGAGCACUUGCCUAGGAAGAGCAAGGCCCUGGGUUCGGUCCCCAGCUCCGAAAAAAAAAAAAGAAAGAAAAAAGAAAAAUAAAGGUGAUACAGAGAUUGAACUCCGGGGGGGAGGGGGAUCCCAAAGGGAAUUUGUUAUACCAGACAAGAAGUCAGAGCACAAGGCCAGGAGUGAGGCCAGCAUUCGGGGAAGGACUCAGGCAAGCAUCCCGGGGAAUCUGGGAGGUGAGCUGGGCGCAGAGCUGGCCAGACUUAGCCUGUUUCCUGCCUCCUGCUGACUCCGGGGCCUCCCCAGGGAGACUGGUAAGAACCCCAGCAGAGAACCUUGCUUUCUCCCAGCUGAUUUCCCAACUCUGUCUUUGAGUCUCAGUCUUGUCAGCUGUAGAAUGGACGGAGCCCUGGCGAAGAGAGACAGCCACAGGACGGUACCUGCAGCUCUGUGGCCGGAAUGGGGACCUGGGGCUGGAGCAGAGUCAUCUACUUCAAACUGAGACAACGUUCGGGAAGAACUCAUCACUGAGAGAGCAAGGGCCUGAGUUCCUCGCCCUGCUGCACGCCAGGGUUAUGUCGGCUCUGGCUGCCUGUAUCUUGUUAGACAUGAGAGAGAGUGAGGGUUCCCAGAUGCCAAGCAAGGGAGGUGCAUGGCUGGCUGCUGCGACCUCAGGAAUCCGGGUACCAUUGGACCGCAGCAUCUGGUGGGAUCCAUGGGAGGUGGAAGGAACAAGGAGCCAGCAGGGCGAGGCGGCAUCCCGUGGAAGGUGUUGCCUGACAGUCAUAGAUGCCCCAUGUACGGAUAGGCAGUGCACGGAGAGCCUUGGCUGGAUGCCCAGCGCCUGACCCCUUACUAGAGGGAGACAGACCCAGUUCCGGGGUCAGGGCAGGGACAGAGUGGCUGGGUAGUUAGCUCUAUAAGUAGCCUGUGAACUGCCCCAGCUGGGACAGUGUGAGGAUCAGGUGACAGCCCACAGCAGGCUGGGCUCUGUCAGUCUGGGUCAUACACAUGACUUGUGCUGUGAUUGGCAGGUGACACGUAUUGCACGCACUCACACAGCACCCCUCACCCCUGGACCCUGUCGCAGCUCAGUCAAGCUUAGAGGCCUUUUCCCCCACUUGGAGCUCCUGGGCUGGGGACUGGGGGUGUCUGUGCCCUGCAGCCUUGGUGGCAAACUUCUGAUACUUGACAUACAUGCCUGUGUCAGGAUUGCCCGGAUUAACCCUGCUUCUAGUAACCAAGGGUUGUUGCUACCCAGGCUUGACUCACAGCACAUGGACGCACGCAGCCAGGAGAAGGUUCUACACAGGUGAAUUGCCUUCUUGGAGAUGAGGGGCAGGCAGGGAACAGUCAUCCAGCCAAGCACACUGGGUUUGUGCUGCUCUAGGACGCUGCUCAAGAAGAAGGGAGGAGGUUGUGGUCUCCUCUCCAUGUCCCUCCUGUCUCUGUGGUACACACGCACACAGUCGGGCACACGUGUAUUUUGUGGUGCUGGGAAUGGAACGUAGGGCCUGAAUCUUGCCGGACCAGCAAAGUGACCGCUAAGCUACACCCGCCAGUCACGAACACAUCCUAGGACUGCAAUGGUCAGAAUGUAAACUUGAUUGGGAGAGGGUAAUCUAAGCAUUGAGGAAUAAAGAAAUACCCCUCUUAAUACAAAUACCCUUAUAUCCAGUGCUCAAGACGCUGGAUCCUCCCUAGCUGUCGGGACCAGCAUAUGGUGUCCCUGCCUGCAGAGGUGAACUGUCACCAGAGCCAGAGCAUGAGGUGUCCGAUUGUCAAGAAGCCUCUCCUUUUGCAGCCUUGCCUGUUAAGGUCCAGACCCUCUGUGAGCAAGCCCUAGACCUUCCUCUGGGUGUCUUCCAUGCAUGCGCCCCUCAAGCCUUCACCUAGGAAGGUGAGGCCUAGAGCUGAACGCCUUUUAGUGCCACACACCGUGCCUCCUUGGCUUCUCCACGGCACCCAGGUCAGGAGCCUUACGGACACAGAGCUCAGAGUUACAAAGGGCUGGAGUGGCCUGGACUCCUUAUGUCUGGGAGGGAGGGAGGGAGGGCCACAGUGUCCCUUAACAAGGCUCAGGCUGCCUGGGGUAAUGUCCUCAGGCAAAAGACUUCAGUCACAGGCAAUGCACGCUCCUCGGUAACGAGGCCAGAGGUGAGACCCCCUCCAGUCCCGAAGAAUCAAGUAGUCCCACAUUCUGGAGAACCAAGGUUGUUUUUGAGCUUCAUCUCUGUCAUGGAUAAGGGAACCAGCCGUGUUUUCCUGAAGGUCCCAAGAUGGCUGUCAAAGAUGGCCGCUAACCACCAAAUGUGAUGUCUAAACAUGACAGCUUGGAGUGCAAGAAGGAAAUAGAAUUUUCCUAGAAGCAGCCAACAGUUGGUCCUGUGUUAUCAUCCCCAGACUCCACUGUUCUGGCCAUGAUUCAAUCCGAAGCUCGCACAGGCAGAGGAAGCGCUCAAUCCCUGAGCGAUGCCCCUAGCCAUGGUCCCACGCAUCAUAGUUACCUUUUCCUGCCCAUUCACAAGCAGUCCCACCCUGUGAACCCUGUGAGCAGGGCCCUGUCUACCCUUGCUGAAGAUUCUUUUCAGGGAGGCUGUGGAGCCAGCAGCAGCCUGGGAACAUGGCGUUUCCUUCCAGGUCAGACGGAUGGUCUUAGGACUUAUAAAAAGUUCAGAUUCCCUAAUAUCUGGGUGCCUUUCCUUCAAUCCUAUGACUGUGCCUCACUGCAAAGGAGGCUGGGAAAUGUAGUCUAAAAUUCCUGUCUCUGUGUAAUGGGAUGGGGGGUUGGGGGGGGCCUUUGGCACAAUGCCGCCCCUCCCCCAGUUAGCUCAGAGGUCUACUAGGAGAUGUGGAGGUCUGCCAUGGAUCAGGAUGUAACCCACAACCCUUGCUCUGGUGACAUUCUUCCUGCCGUGCUGGCGGAGUGGACCUAAUCUGUGAAACUGUUAGCAAGCCCGAAUUAAAUGCUUCCUCUUUUGAGUCACCCUGCUCCCUCUCCACGGCAAUAGAACGAUGACUAAGAAAACACGCUUCUCUCUUUUAGGAAAACUCUUUUGUGUAACUGGGCACAGUGCCCUCUAAGAAAGAUGUGCCUGUAGCCGGGCGGGGCCAGGUAGCCAAGUGGCUGACUGGACCCUGGGCAGGAGCAGGGGAAGAAACUGUCUGAUGCAGGUGUGAGCCACCAUGUGGUUGCCGGGAUUUGAACUCAGGACCUCUGGAAGAGCAGUCAGUGCUCUAACCACUGAGCCAUCUCUCCAGCCCCCAAAAUACUCUUUUUUUUUUUUUUUCUUUUCUUCGGAGCUGGGGACUGAACCCAGGGCCUUGCGCUUACUAGGCAAGCGCUCUUCCACUGAGCCAAAUCCCCAACCCCCAAAAUACAUUUCUUAAGCUCUCUUCCUCUACACACCCAUUUGAAUAACGCUCAUGGUAUCAGUGAUAAUGGCCACUAAUAAUUCGGUAAUUAAUUAAAAGAUGGGUUUCAGACAUGUUACCCUCAUAGUAAGAAUAUAAACAGGAGGGGUUGGGGAUUUAGCUCAGUGGUAGAGCGCUUGCCUAGCAAGCACAAGGCCCUGGGUUCGGUCCCCAGCUCCGAAAAAAAGAAAAAAAAAAAAAAAAGAAUAUAAACAGGAGGCCAUGCCCCUGGCCAUGGGAGGCUGAGGUGGGAAGACAGGUUGAGCCUGAGGCUAGAGGUAGACUCAUCUCAAAGAGCGCAGGGAAACCUAUAAACCACACAGGAGAAGGCGCGCUUCCGCUAGCUUACCCGAAUGGUAGGUGUUCUUUUAUGUCCCGGGCUCUGGGAUCCAAUGAUGGCUUCUGUAAUCAGCUGUCCUCAUUUGCAUCUUCCUUCCUUCUUUCCUUCGUGCCUUCCUUCCUUUUGCCUUUUUUCUUUUUUGAGAUGGUGUCUCUGAGUAGCCCCGGCUGUUCCAGAACUCACUCUGUAGCCCAGGCUGGCCUCGAGCUGAGAGAUCGCCUGCCUCGGCCUCCCAAGUGCUGGGAUUAAAGUACACAGGUUAGAGCCCCCUACUCAUUCCCUGCACAAGCUGGGAAACUCCAUCUGCCCUCCCACCUCUCCCCUUCCCCCCUUCCCCCCUUCCCCCCUUCCCCUCUCCCCACACCGGCCCCAUCCCUGCCUGCACAGAGAGACCUCCCCAUUCAUGUACAGAAAACUCCCGGGCUAACAUCGCACCUCAUCUCCCCAUUUCCGGUUUCCGGCGACCCACCCAAGAGUGCGGGUGGAAUGGCUGAGAGUCUGACCACGUGUGGACACCGUCCCACCUUCUAGCUGACAAUCACGCUCCUCGCCUAAGCUCUAUAAACCCCCCUUACCUUACCGUGUGACUUCGCUGACCUCCACCUGUGAGAUCAGUGAACCCACCCGAGAGCUGCCUGCUACUAAACCUGCCUUUAUCUACUUUUAAUCUGGUCUAACCUGGCCUGUGUCUGCAUCACGGAGGGAGAGAAAAUGCCCAUCCACCACGCCCACCAUUUUGUGUUCUAGAGUGUUGGCAGUUUUGAAUUUCCUCAUGAUCCUGUAGGUUAAGAGUAAUCUUACCGGUCUGGUCUCGGCCAUCGCUGGUUUGUGGGGUGCUGGGAUCUAACCGGGGGUUUGCUGCACACUGGGCAAACGCUCUGCCACCUGAGUCGUAUCCCUGUCCCACGAUAUUCAGUUUGUGCUUAUUAUUAUUAUUAUUUUUUUUUUUGGUUCUUUUUUUCGGAGCUGGGGACCGAACCCAGGGCCUUGCGCUUCCUAGGUAAGCACUCUACCACUGAGCUAAAUCCCCAGCCCCAGUUUGUGCUUAUUUUGUCCCAGGGUCUCUAACUUUUUUCUAUGUAGCUCAGGCUGGUCUCAAACUCACGGGUCAUCCUCCUGCUUCACCCAGCCGAGACUGCCGGCUGAACUACGAACCCCAGCUGGUCAGAGGACACUGAAUUUUUGUUUGAAGGCGUUUUUUCUCUUGCCCUGAUGGCUCAGUUGAAAAAAAAAAAAAAAAAAAACAAAAAAACAAACAAAAAAAAAAAGAAAACAAAUCAAAAGGGCUGAGUGCCGACCCUCGGAGGACGGUACUGGACAAGAGGGCCUCAGUACACGCGGCUCCCCAGCAAGCUGAGCCAGUUCUCCGUCCCCAGUGCCUGCCAGUCCCCACCUCAGUAGUAAGCCCACACCUCUCCGACUCGCGUCCUGGCAGGGUGUAGUGUUCAUUAAAGGGCACGUCAUAAAAGUGUAUUAAUUUGAAACGGACAUGUGCGCUACUGAAAGCCGACAUCAAGGACCAGUGGCUGAGGUUCCAAGUCCUGGGAGAGGGUCGGGGAGGGAGGCAGUUUGGGCUAAUGAAGAGCAGGCUGCCUUCUUCCGGUUGGGUUUUGAGAUGAGGCUCGGUCGGGGGACUGGCCUCGACUGUUCCUGGGCAAACCUGUGUCAAAACCAAACCAAACCAAACUAAACCAAAACGACAACAACAACAACAUCACCCUAGAAAAAAAAACCCAAAAAACAAAAAAUCAAUAAGAAAGACAAAAACUGCUGUGUUUGCGUUUGUAAGUGCAAAGUCUAUGUGUGCACACGCCCAAGUACCUGAAGGGCUUAGAAGAUGUCAGCUCCUAGGGGGAUGUGAACCCCUGAACUGGAGCCACCUGGUGUGGGUGCCAGGAACUGAACCCAGGUCCUCUGCAGGAGCAAUAAGGACUCUUUUUUUUUUUUUUUUUUUUUUAAGAUUUAUUUAUUUGGGCUGGAGAGAUGGCUCAGCGGUUAGAGCACUGACUGCUCUUCCAGAGGUCCUGAGUUCAAUUCCCAGCAACCACAUGGUGGCUCACAACCAUCUGUAAUGGGAUGCUCUCUUCUGAAGUGUCUGAAGAGAACUACAGUAUACUAAUAUAUAAAUAAAAUAAAUAAAUCUUUAAAAAAAAGAUUUAUUUAUUUUAGUUAUAUGAGUACACUAUAGCUGUUUUUUUUUUUUCAAACACACCAGAAGAGGGCAUCAGAUCCCAUUACAGAUGGUUGUGAGCCACCAUGUGGUUGCUGGGAUUUGAACUCAGGACCUCUGGAAGAGCAGUCAGUGCUCUAACCGCUGAGCCACCCCUCCAGCUCCAAGAGCACUUGUUCUUGAGGAGGACCCAGGUUCAAGUCCCAGCACCUACAUGGGUGCAACAACCUGUACCUCCAGGUCCCGGACAUCUGACACCUCUGACCAGGCACCGGGCAUGACAUGGUACACAGUCAUACGUGUGGGUAAAUAUCUAUGCACAUAACAAUUCGAAAAAAAAAUUUUAAAUAUUACAUUUACUUCUGUGCCUGUGUCAUGACACACGGGUGGUGGUCAGAGGGCAAAUGGCAGGAGUCGGUUCUCUCCGUCCACCGUGAGGGGUCCGUCUGGGGAGGAGGAAGCUGAGUGGUUUGUCCCAGGUCACAUAGCCAGGACUUUCAGAGUCGUCUGUGGCCCACAGUUGUGGCCAUCCCACGUCCUUGCCCUUUGGGUACCUAACUCCAUUUUCCUCCUCAGGAAGAGACUGUAGAGUGGCGGGGAGACCCGAGGGUCAAAGGUGGACUUGAGACGAAAGCGAAGGCACGGACGGACUUGGGUUUCUUCUACAGACGGGCAGCAGACAUCACGUGUCCUUCACGGGUCUUGCUUCCCACAUGUCUGUUUCAGCCGACAUUACUCUGCCUAUCGUCCCAAGCCUGCAGAAGCGGCGAGAAGCUGCCAGAACAUGACUGGAAGUUUUUUGGUGCUUUCUCUCUACGGAGUCACAACCAACGGAGCUCAGCUGUAAGGCGGACCAAUAACAAGUGUGUUAUUAGUGAGGAAUCCUUCAUCACGAGUCCUUACAUGUGCUUGCUUUAGCAGAACAUCCUUUCGACUGUGUCUGCUUCAGUGAAACACUCCUUCACACGUUUGCCCCAGUAAAACACCAUCCGCCACAACUGACUUUCCGAAGAAACCCUAAGUUUCCACUUCAACAGGGUCUCACCGUGUAGCCUUGGCUGGUUUGGAACUUGCGUUGUUGACCAGGCUGACCUCGAACUCACAGAAACCCUGCCUCCCUCUGCCUCCCCAGUGCUGUCUUAAAGGCGUGAGCCACCACAUCUGGCUAUAUUAAGCAAAUACAAGUGUAGCAUUAUGUUUUUCUGUCCUGGGCUAAGGAUGCAGCUUAGCUAGCAGAACACUUGCCUAGACAGCAUGAACUCUGGCUUCAGUCAGCACCCAGCACUCUGUAAACAGAGAGGUGCUGGCCUGUGACCCCAGAACUUGGGAGGUGGAGGCAGGAGAAUCAGAAGUUUAAGGUUAUCCUGGGCUACCUAGUGGUUUGGAGGCCAGCCUGGGCUACCUGAGACCUGUCUGAAAAAGACAAGAAGUAAGAAAGACCUUUCUUGAUGUCUAAGGCAGACCAACCAGUGGGCUUCGAGGAUCUGCUCAACAGGCCCGGGGAAGCUGAGGACUUAAUCCCUUGACCCAGUGCCAUGGGAGUGCCUCGGAGGUGUGCCUUCUCAUGAAGGGCUUUGUCACGGCGCCACUGAUGGUGCCAGCCCCAACCUGCCUGUCAGAGCUGAACUGGUUGAUGAGCGACUUCAACAGUUGACUUAGUGUUUGUGAUCCCAGUGCUGAACUGGCAAGAACCGGCUUUAAUGAAGUAAGUUAUGUCAGAUGGGGAGCCCAGGUCUCAUGCCCUUUGUGGAAGCUUUGGACACAACUGAGCUGCAUGUUCUUUGAGCAAGAGCUCCUCUGGGCCUCAGUUUCCCUUUCUGUAAGACAGGCACGAUAAGAGAUCUCCUCUGGUGCCACAGCAUGGGCGUUCAGUGACCUGCUGUGGGGACAGCGAAGGUGUACGGCCAGCGUACAGGGUUGUUGGAUGAGGCCUCUCUGGGGUGUGCCUCAGGUCCUGGGUGUAGGUGUCUGGCCCACAGAGAAGGCUUUGUCGCUGCCUGCCUCUGGGACACUGGGAUCUGGUGACUCACAUCCAGGGCGGUGAUGGGGAUCCAGGAGCUGCUGCUGUUGGUGCUUUUGAUAUCCCCGGCGCCCUAGUCCCUCGCUGCCCAUGGACAGGAGCGAGAAAAUCUGUGAGGCACCAUAGCAGCUCCCCUCCCCCACCCGGCCACUUCCAUUCUGGAGCUGAAGCACAGAGGAGAAGGUGGGCGGGGCGGGGCAGCAGAUGACUGCUGUGGGAAGACCCACAUCAGGAUCUCCCCAGGGUACCUGAGACAGGAGUGCCAGGCCCUCUUCCUCCUCUCCACCCCCCAAGUGUGGACUCAGGGCUGACACAGGCCAGGUGUCUAUUGGGUAGCUCUGUGUGUGUGUGUGUGUGUGUGUGUGUGUGUGUGUGUGUGUGUGUGUGGACACCGCUGGAGCUAAAGCUGGCACUUCUGGGACAAAGGAACUUUUGUGUAUGUGACAAUGGCCAGGACGGGGCAGCUUCCCUGAGGCAUUUCCAGAACAUUCUCUCUCUCUCUCUCUCUCUCUCUCUCUCUCUCUCUGUGUGUGUGUGUCUGUCUGUCUGUCUGUCUGUCUGUAUGCCAUGUGGGUGUGAAGUGAAUGUCCUAGGAGGCCAGAAGGGCACCUUGGAUCCCCUGGAGCUGACAUCACAGGAGGCAAACUGACAUGGGCGUUAGGAGCCAAAUCUUGGCCCCCAGCAAGACCUGAGCCUUUCUCCAACAUCAUGGGUGUUCUGUCCCAGGUCCCCCUCCAGGGGGCACAGUGAAUGACCCUAGGGCGAAGGGUCAGCCUUCUGUCCUUGCCCAACAUGUCCUGGGUCCUGCAGAACUGGGAGUUCAGGUCAUGCCUUGACCCCCUCUCCAGCUGUGACUCAGGGCAGUGCCACUCAGCAAGCCCUACUGUGGGUGCUGAACUGGAGGGACGCCAUUAAAUAGAACUGGCUGGGCUUGGACCGACGCCAGGCCGCCCCACAUUCUCCUCUGGAGGGGUCAGGAGCCAGGUUCAGUUGCCAGCUUCAGGCUUUGGUGACUUAGAGUCUGGAGGCCAGGGCAGGGCAGGUCCCCCAAGUGGCUGAGGGCACGGGAUCAAAGGCCGCAGAAUGGCCCUGGAGAGAGUUAAGCUGGGACCGGGCCCAAGUCACCUUCUGGCCAGGAUCCCCCACAGGCUCUGGCCACAGCCUUGUGGCAGCAGACCGAUCACGUGAAACUGCCUACAGCCGUUCCUCCGGGCUCUCUGGUUUGGGUUACUUGUCUGUUUUCUUUCUCCUGUAGGCCAGGUGGCUUCCAACUCACAGACAUCUGCUCACCUGUGCUGAGAUUAAAGGUGUGGCACCAGGCCUGGCUCUCUUGUUUUCCAGGGGUUCAGCCUCUGGUUUGCAGAGUGGGUGUGGGUGGCCUCUUCCCCAGGAACUGACUUCCUCCUUUGGGGAGACCCCAACCCUUGCCCCAUCAUGGUAGGGGAAACCUGACUGGGACAGGACUGUAAGGGGCCCUCUCCUUUUCCCUUCUUCCUGUCCUCUCUUCCCUCCUUCACAAAGGAAGGUAAAGCCGGUGUUGUUGUUGU